rnacentral:rRNA from 1 species
UACGUAGGGGGGCAAGCGUUGUCCGGAUUUAUUGGGCGUAAAGAGCGUGUAGGCGGUCAGGUAGGUCCGUUGUGAAAAACUCGAGGCUCAACCUCGAGACGCCGAUGGAAACCAUCUGACUAGAGUCCGGAAGAGGAGAGUGGAAUUCCUGGUGUAGCGGUGAAAUGCGCAGAUAUCAGGAAGAACACCCGUGGCGAAGGCGGCUCUCUGGGACGGUACUGACGCUAAGGUGCGAAAGCGUGGGGAGCGAACAGG